rnacentral:rRNA from 1 species
GGGGAUAGCCUUUCGAAAGAAAGAUUAAUAUCCGAUAGCAUAUCAAGAUCGCAUGACCUUGAUAUUAAAGAAUUUCGGUUAUCGAUGGGGAUGCGUUCCAUUAGUUAGUUGGCGGGGUAACGGCCCACCAAGACGACGAUGGAUAGGGGUUCUGAGAGGAAGGUCCCCCACAUUGGAACUGAGACACGGUCCAAACUCCUACGGGAGGCAGCAGUGAGGAAUAUUGGUCAAUGGACGAGAGUCUGAACCAGCCAAGUAGCGUGAAGGAUGACUGCCCUAUGGGUUGUAAACUUCUUUUAUAUGGGAAUAAAACAGGGUAUGCAUACCCUCUUGUAUGUACCAUAUGAAUAAGGAUCGGCUAACUCCGUGCCAGCAGCCGCGGUAAUACGGAGGAUCCGAGCGUUAUCCGGAUUUAUUGGGUUUAAAGGGAGCGUAGGUGGAUUGUUAAGUCAGUUGUGAAAGUUUGCGGCUCAACCGUAAAAUUGCAGUUGAAACUGGCAGUCUUGAGUACAGUAGAGGUGGGCGGAAUUCGUGGUGUAGCGGUGAAAUGCUUAGAUAUCACGAAGAACUCCGAUUGCGAAGGCAGCUCACUGGACUGCAACUGACACUGAUGCUCGAAAGUGUGGGUAUCAAACAGGAUUAGAUACCCUGGUAGUCCACACAGUAAACG